GACGAACGCUGGCGGCGUGCUUAACACAUGCAAGUCGAGCGGUAAGGCCCUUUCGGGGGUACACGAGCGGCGAACGGGUGAGUAACACGUGGGUGACCUGCCCUCAGCUCUGGGAUAAGCCUGGGAAACCGGGUCUAAUACUGGAUAUGACUCCAUGACGCAUGUUGUGGGGUGGAAAGCCUUGUGCGGCUGAGGAUGGGCCCGCGGCCUAUCAGCUUGUUGGUGGGGUGANGGCCUACCAAGGCGACGACGGGUAGCCGGCCUGAGAGGGCGACCGGCCACACUGGGACUGAGACACGGCCCAGACUCCUACGGGAGGCAGCAGUGGGGGAAUCUUGCGCAAUGGGACGAAAGCCUGACGCAGCGACGCCGCGUGAGGGAUGACGGCCU
rnacentral:rRNA from 1 species